rnacentral:rRNA from 1 species
UACGUAGGGUGCAAGCGUUAUCCGGAAUUAUUGGGCGUAAAGAGCUCGUAGGCGGUUUGUCGCGUCUGCUGUGAAAACUGGAGGCUCAACCUCCAGCCUGCAGUGGGUACGGGCAAACUAGAGUGCGGUAGGGGAGAUCGGAAUUCCUGGUGUAGCGGUGAAAUGCGCAGAUAUCAGGAGGAACACCGGUGGCGAAGGCGGAUCUCUGGGCCAUUACUGACGCUGAGGAGCGAAAGCGUGGGGAGCGAACAGG